rnacentral:rRNA from 1 species
UACAGAGGGGGCAAGCGUUGUUCGGAAUUACUGGGCGUAAAGGGCGCGUAGGCGGCCUUCUAAGUCGAACGUGAAAUCCCUGGGCUCAACCCAGGAACUGCGUCCGAUACUGGAAGGCUUGAAUCCGGGAGAGGGAUGCGGAAUUCCAGGUGUAGCGGUGAAAUGCGUAGAUAUCUGGAGGAACACCGGUGGCGAAGGCGGCAGCCUGGACCGGCAUUGACGCUGAGGCGAGAAAGCCAGGGGAGCAAACGGG